rnacentral:rRNA from 1 species
UACAGAGGGGGCAAGCGUUAUUCGGAAUUAUUGGGCGUAAAGGGCGCGUAGGCGGCUAUCCAAGUGGCGGGUGAAAUCCCUCGGCUUAACCGAGGAACUGCCUGCCAGACUGGAUGGCUCGAGACCGGGAGAGGUGAGUGGAAUUCCCAGUGUAGCGGUGAAAUGCGUAGAUAUUGGGAGGAACACCAGUGGCGAAGGCGGCUCACUGGACCGGAACUGACGCUGAGGCGCGAAAGCGUGGGGAGCAAACAGG